rnacentral:rRNA from 1 species
GGUAGUCCACGCCGUAAACGAUGGGUACUAGGUGUGGGGUCCAUUCCACGGGUUCCGUGCCGUAGCUAACGCUUUAAGUACCCCGCCUGGGGAGUACGGCCGCAAGGCUAAAACUCAAAGGAAUUGACGGGGCCCCGCACAAGCGGCGGAGCAUGCGGAUUAAUUCGAUGCAACGCGUAGAACCUUACCUGGGUUUGACAUGGAUCGGGAGUGCUCAGAGAUGGGUGUGCCUCUUUUGGGGUCGGUUCACAGGUGGUGCAUGGCUGUCGUCAGCUCGUGUCGUGAGAUGUUGGGUUAAGUCCCGCAACGAGCGCAACCCUUGUUCACUGUUGCCAGCACGUUAUGGUGGGGACUCAGUGGAGACCGCCGGGGUCAACUCGGAGGAAGGUGGGGAUGACGUCAAGUCAUCAUGCCCCUUAUGUCCAGGGCUUCACGCAUGCUACAAUGGCUGGUACAGAGAGUGGCGAGCCUGUGAGGGUGAGCGAAUCUCGGAAAGCCGGUCUCAGUUCGGAUUGGGGUCUGCAACUCGACCUCAUGAAGUCGGAGUCGCUAGUAAUCGCAGAUCAGCAACGCUGCGGUGAAUACGUUCCCGGGGCUUGUACACACCGCCCGUCAAGUCAUGAAAGUUGGUAACACCCGAAGCCGGUGGCCUAACCGUUGUGGGGGAGCCGUCGAAGGUGGGACUGGUGAUUAGGACUAAGUCGUAACAAGGUAACC